AAAGCGUCCGCAGGCGGUCUUGUAAGUCUGUCGUUAAAGCGUGGAGCUUAACUCCAUUUGAGCGAUGGAAACUGCAAGACUAGAGUGUGGUAGGGGCAGAGGGAAUUCCCGGUGUAGCGGUGAAAUGCGUAGAUAUCGGGAAGAACACCAGUGGCGAAGGCGCUCUGCUGGGCCAUAACUGACGCUCAUGGACGAAAGCCAGGGGAGCGAAAGGGAUUAGAUACCCUUGU
rnacentral:rRNA from 1 species